rnacentral:lncRNA from 1 species
CAAAUAUCCCUUUGAAAAAGGUUUCUUCCGAAGACUAUGUCUCUAUACUCUAGUCUCUCAAAAUAGAACGAUACAUUUCCUUCUGAAAAUUAUAUAACAUCACCCGAUGAAAGAAGUUUUGAGACCGAAUCACUUAAUUUUUUUUAGUUCUCUCUACUAUCUCACUUUAGCUAUUAAAACAAAAAGUUAGAAGUGCAACAAAUUUAUGUUUUGGCAGUUGUAUGUUCGUUUAUGAGUAUAAGCAUUGAUUAUUUUGUUGAGCAUGACUAUUCUGAUUUUUCUGAUUUUUUGAAGGAGCUUAUCAAUAUUAUAUUAAAUCAAGCCUAAUUAACAAACUGGCAGUGCACGUGUAAUUUUUUUUCCAAUUAUUUGCUCAAGUUCUUUGGCAGAUCUGGCAAGUGGGCAGUUCUGACGACUUGACGUCGUUGGCCUCUCGGCUAUAUGUAUGCUCGUAGUCCUGUCUCUGCGUGGCGGCUGGAAUCUGUCUUAUAUGGCCGGCAAGUAUUAAAUCUGGCAACUCGUCCGCGAAUAUCUGACCCAAAUGGGUAGGAUAUUGGUCGAUGUUUAUGCCCAUGGAUAUACCCGAUGG